UACGGGGGGGGGCAAGCGUUGUUCGGAAUUACUGGGCGUAAAGGGCUCGUAGGCGGCCAACUAAGUCGGACGUGAAAUCCCCAGGCUCAACCUGGGAACUGCAUCCGAUACUGGAUGGCUUGAAUUCGGGAGAGGGAUGCAGAAUUCCAGGUGUAGCGGUGAAAUGCGUAGAUAUCUGGAGGAAUACCGGUGGCGAAGGCGGCAUCCUGGACCGAGAUUGACGCUGAGGCGCGAAAGCUAGGGGGAGCAAACGGG
rnacentral:rRNA from 1 species